rnacentral:misc_RNA from 1 species
GUCAGAUGUGUAUAAGAGACAGGUGAAUCAUCGAAUCUUUGAACGCACAUUGCGCCCUCUGGUAUUCCGGGGGGCAUGCCUGUUCGAGCGUCAUUACAACCCUCAAGCUCUGCUUGGUAUUGGGUCAGCCCCUCGGGGCUUUCCUCAAAUUCAGUGGCGGCGUCCAUUGGGCUUCAAGCGUAGUAAUUCUUCUCGCUUUGGAGUUCCGGUGGGAGCUUGCCAGCAACCCCAAACUUUCUAUGGUUGACCUCGGAUCAGGUAGGGAUACCCGCUGAACUUAAGCAUAUCAAUAAGCGGAGG